AGUCUGGGAGGGAAGCUCACAUGGCGGUCCCUAGGGUGCGACUGGAGGGAGGCGGGACGAUGCUACUCCUUGCUCCCCAACCUGACACCUUGGUGCGGUAAAACUGUAAGAAGGUAACAAAAUCAUAUCUGAAGCCCAGGUCUUCUUUUCUUUUACUACAGAUGCCCUGGACAUCAUUCCGAACAGCACAAUUCAAGGGUGGCUGAAACAACAAAAAUGUAACGUCUUACAGAUCUGAAGGCUUCCGGGUCGAUUCUGGACUGUGAUGAGAAUCUGUGCCAAGCCUCUCUCCUGGCUUCUGGUAGACUCGGGCAUUCCUUAGCUUGUAAAUGGCUGCUGCUUGUGUCAUCACAUUGUCUUCCCUUUCUACUUAUCUGUCCCCAUGCCCCAAUUUUUCCUUUUCAGGACACCAGUCAGAUUAGGACCCACCCUAAUGAUCUCAUCUUAACUUGAUUAACUACAAGGACCCUAUUUUUAAGUACACAUUUACAGAGACUGGGGGGUAGGACUUCAACAUCUUUUUGGAGGGAUGCAGUUCAACCCAUAACAAGAAUCAUUGUUAGAAAUGAUUUUGCUUCUUCACUGAAAAAUUAAUAUCAUUCUGCAGAGAACUGACUUGCUGCACAUGGCACAGAUUUUUUGCAUUUAUCAUAGUAAAAGAAAUCAGUCACAAAAGUUUGUUUUAGACUGCUACAUACCUAUCACAAAUACAAAUUAUUUCCAACAUCAAAAGUUAAUAAAGCAAGCACUGUCACCCAAA
rnacentral:lncRNA from 1 species